UCCACCACGCCCAUUGGUAGUGCCAUUUUAGAUUCACACGGUCCUCAGGUGAAAUAAGGCCAUCUGCCUGGAGCACGGAGGACACCCCCACCAGCCGCCGCCGUGUCCACCCAGCCUCACAUGUCGCCAGGGCCCUUAGAGCCCUCAACAUCCUGGCCUGUCCGGCUUCUCUUGAAAAAGCCCUCCAUGGUUUCCCCCGACACUGAGGCUCCGGCCUGAUCCUCCAGGUCACAGCCGGGAAGCCCACCCAGCAUCAGCACACACAGGUGUGUCACAGGAGUUCCAGCCGGGCCCGCACGGCCGCUCUCCUGGCACGGAAGGUGACUAGGUGGCUGUGCCGGGACGCCCAGGUCUGGGUUCUCUCUCAUCAUCCUCCCCAUUUCUCCUUCGCCACAGCUUCGCCUUUGGGGACGUGGGUGGCUGGGUCCCCUGAGGAGACAGGCCUCCCUUUCCUGAGAAGACCAUCGUUGGACGUGUCAGGCCGUGACAUGCACCAUGGGGCGUGGCAUCUGUCCUGGAUUAACAACCAUUUCACCUUGCCACAGUGCCGGACGCUGUCCUUCCUUCCCAGUCCUGCAUCUGGCGUUUGCAGCCUGCUACCUGUGGAACAGGUGGGCCUCCACGGCCCCCACUCCACCUGAUGGAGCACAAAGGCUGUGUCUGCCCGGGCCUGGUACUUGUUCAGCAUGUAGGCGUUGCUCAGUACUGAGGGGCCGCGUUGCCCCAUCGUGGCCACACUGGAGAUUCAGCUACGUGAUUCUGCACUGUCUGCACUCCAAGGCUGCCUGGGCUCCAGACCUCGCAUCAACAGUCCUGGUUCUGCUUUAAAGACUCUGCUGAGAUUCAGAUCCGUGACCCUCGUAUUACACAGCAUGCCCUCCCCCCCCGACCCGCCAAGGGUAGAUGAUGUUGGUGGAGGAGGGAGGAGAAAGUAUACACAGAGCAUUACACAAAUACUACAAGGCCUAAAACUGCACUGAAAUCCAAAAAAAAAAAAGAAUCAUUUCCAGGUAGAUCAGGAAAUGGUAAAGAUAUUGAGCAACAAAGACUGGGAGCUCAGCAACAAGUCCACAUUUCUAUUCUAGUUUGACCUUCCUGUUUUAGGCAAAUGGCUUUAUGAAUAAGAGGUUGAGUCACAGCUGGUAUUUCUGCAAGGUUCUCAGGGUGACAAGGGACGGUCCACAGAAGCAGAAAGAAUUUGAAGUUUCUCCCUUUAUUGGAACUAAAGAGAUAAUUCUCAUAGGUGGGGACUUUGCCUGGCCUGGGACAGAAAUCCACACCUUUGGAUCUGACAUGUCCUCCAUCCUCCCCCCCCACCCCCAAAUAAAACCAGCCCCCAUCUGAAGUGACCUGGCCAGUCAGUUUCUCGGGGGGGACCUGGGCUCCGAGCUAGUGGUGCAGAUGUCACCUUGAGGACCUUGAUACACAGAUGCUGUCUGCUUCAGGUCAGACUUGAUGCUCUGCCUCUUUCCAAGUGCUGUCAUUUGUGUCAUGGAUCUCAAAUGCUGUCAUUGGUGUCUUGGAUGUCCCCAAAAGACCCAUGUGUUAAACAUUUGGUCCCUAGGUCGUGUGCCUGGGCAGUGGGAGGUGGGACCUGGUGGGGAAGUUGGAUUACUGGGGGCAUGCCCUGAAGGGGAUAUUCCAACCCGGCCCCUCCCGUCUCUCUUGCUCCCUGGCUGCCAUGAGGUGAGUAAUGUCCUGGGUCGUGUGCGCCCACCAUGAUGUUCUGCCUUACCACAGGCCCCUAGUGAGGCUGAGCUGCCAUAGACUGACAUUGUGAGCCAAAGUCCACCUUCCUACUUUACGUCGACUGUCUCAGGUAUGUGUCACAGUGACAGAAAGCUGACUCCACCACGGUGGGAUUGCUGCAGCUCCAACAGGUGGUCGAUGUGAAGUGCACUGUGAACAUUCACGUAGGACCCGUUCCCGUGCGUGCAGAGCCCUGGGCGCAGCUUCCGUUGUUUUUUACAGAGGAGCGAGUGGAGGCCUAAAGUCCCUGAAGCCAUGAGAAAGGAAUGCAGCCCGUGGUGCUUAAAAGUCAUAGAAAAAAUGUCACAGCCAUAUAUGAGCUUCAUUUGCUGUGGUUGAAGAAAGGAUUUGCGGUGGGAGAGGAGCUGGUGGGCAUUUUCGUGUUACUUUUUAGUUGUAAAAUACAUAUAAUAAAAUUUGCCAUCUUAAUCAUU